UGUGGCAUGUGAUGUUUACAUAAUCCUAGGAAGAAAACGGAUGAGCCGAUGUUGACAAGAGCUUAAGUAAGUCUCCAUGUACAUCAAGUACUUUGGAGAUGCCAAAGGUGUAACUUUAAAGGGCAAAGACCUUAGGACAAAGCAACUUGAAGAAGCCAGGAACUAAAGAUGGGACAUUUGGUUCAAAACUUCAAGUGGCUCUCCGCCCACCGCCCCAAGAUUGCAUGACAGAAAAACAACAACAGAAUCAAUGUGACUACUAAGAAUACAUUUUUAAAAAUUAACAUGACAUCUUGGAUCUUAUAAGAGUCAAGCCCUUCAGGAAAUAAACCAUGAGAGAGACUGGAUUGAAAUCUGUGCAUUGCCAAGGGCAAGAAGCUGAGAACGUGGAGAGAGAG